rnacentral:lncRNA from 1 species
GUUAGUGCUGUAUAAUGAUAUACACCACACAUCUGCUGGCAGUGCUGUAUCAAUGAUAUACACCACACAUCUGCUGUUAGUGCUGUAUCAAUGAUAUACACCACACAUCUGCUGUUAGUGCUGUAUUAAUGAUAUACACCACACAUCUGCUGUUAGUGCUGUAUUAAUGAUAUACACCACACAUCUGCUGUUAGUGCUGUAUCAAUGAUAUAAACCACACAUCUGCUGUUAGUGCUGUAUUAAUGAUAUACACCACACAUCUGCUGUUAGUGCUGUAU